UUACAUCAUACGGACCUGAGGAGCGAUGGUUGGCCUAAGGAUAGGGAUGGACAUAUUUACUCUUGGACUCUGAACUGCCACUGCCCACGUCGGGGAGCCUGUACCCUUAUGUAGAAAUUAUCCUUGCAGACUCCUUCCCACAUCCUUAGAGAUAGGCAGCCACAGGACUGUGCCUAGAAGACUCAAGCGGCAGCCAUGCCAGAGAAGGAAUGAUGAACAGGUAACCCAGGGCUCACUCAUCUUCUUGAAAAAAAAAGUGUUGCUUCAGUCCAGAAGGCAACAGAAAACCCAGCACUGAGGGGAGCUCAGGCAGAGGAAGGAGGAAUGGACAGGAUUGUGCUGGCAGGGUUGGUGAUUGUGUUUUGGUUCUAAGGAGAAAGAAACUCGGAGAGAUGGAUAUUACACUGUUAUUGUCCCUGAUCUCCCAAACAUUCCUAUGAGGUGGACAUUUUUAUUCUCAGUUUACACAUGGAAGGACCAAGGCUCUAAGGUGUAUAUUGAAGACAGGGUUCAUUCUCCUACGAAGGGAGGCAGAGAAGGAAUAGAGCGCCCUCGUAGUUACAGAUGUCAAGUGACAGACUGGACGUGCUAGGACAUGCAGCACUCGCAGCGGCAGACAGACUGAGCUCCAGGCCAGCUUGAUCUACAUAGUGCGUUCCAGGACAGCCAGGGUUACAUGGAGAAACCCUGUUUCAAAAUAAAAAUAGGGCUGGAGAGUUGGCUCAGUGGUUAAGAGCACUGACUGCUCUUGCAGAGGUCUUGAGUUCACAUGUCUAGCUCAGGCUGACUUCAAACCUGCUAUGCAAAGGGUUAUAAAGGGCGGCCU
rnacentral:lncRNA from 1 species